rnacentral:rRNA from 1 species
AGUGAACGCUGGCGGUAGGCCUAACACAUGCAAGUCGAACGGCAGCACAGUAAGAGCUUGCUCUUACGGGUGGCGAGUGGCGGACGGGUGAGGAAUACAUCGGAAUCUACUUUUUCGUGGGGGAUAACGUAGGGAAACUUACGCUAAUACCGCAUACGACCUACGGGUGAAAGCAGGGGAUCUUCGGACCUUGCGCGAUUGAAUGAGCCGAUGUCGGAUUAGCUAGUUGGCGGGGUAAAGGCCCACCAAGGCGACGAUCCGUAGCUGGUCUGAGAGGAUGAACGCCCAACAGGAAAAUAGAACAGGGCCCAAACCCCCAGGGGGGGCAGAGGGGGGAAAUUUGGGAAAAGGGGGGAAAGCCUAACCCACCCAUCCCGGGGGGGGAAAGAAGGCCUUGGGUUUUUAAAGCCCUUUUGUGGGGAAAAAAAAACAGCAGGUUAAAACCCCGCGUUUCGGACGGUACCCAAAGAAUAAGCACCGGCAAACUUCGG